rnacentral:tRNA from 1 species
AAGAAGUUAGUUAAAAUAUAACAUUAGUAUGUCAUACUAAAAUUAUUAAAUAAUAAUACAUCUUU